CCAUCCCCACAAUUCAUCCUGCGUGUUUGAAGCCCUUAGCCUGAAUUACUGGGGUUAUCGGAAGACCAUUGACCUUUUCUCAGCAAAACUCACCAACCGAACUGUAAGGAUUUACUGCAGCCAUAACACAGAAGAUUUUCUUCCUUAUGAUGUAUGUUCACUUAUUCAUUUGUGCUUUUGCCUUUUUAUUAAAACACGUAUUAUUAGAAAAGGGCAGGAGAGGGUCUUCUUUUCGCUCACUAAUUUUAUUUAGAAGUGCAACUGCUAAACCUAACACUUCCUGAUGGAUAUAGACUUAACGAAGUAGCAGUGUCACCAAAGCCAAGACAACCGAAAUGGAGCAGUCGGGGAGGGGAGGAUUUGGGCUUAAAUAGCACACAACAACUGGUGUUCGUUUUGUUAAAUGCUUCUGUAAAAAAAAGCUAUUGGCCCUCAUGUCGCUGAAAGGGCAUUCUGGUGAUGUCCAACCUGUCUGAUACGUAAUGCAAGAAAUUAUUACAUGCAUUUUUCACACCUCCUCGGGGAGGACAAAGGCUUUGUUACUGCUAAGAAAAUAAUUUGAAAAAGGACAAAAGAGAAUAAAUUAAAGACAAUAUUUGUUACAAGUCCCUAGCUCUUCUUAGCAGAAACACAACUGAAAGCUCAGCAUUCCCUCUGCUGCCAAAUGCUGCUUCGUUGCCCUUUAUAAUUAGAAUAAAUUAAAAAGCCACAAAAAAAUCUUCAUCAAUCUUUUCGAAGUCUUUCCAGUGAUAGCGCAUAAAUCUCCCGACCCGAUCUUCCACGUUACACACCAGCUUUUUUUUUUUAGGAAUUUUUUCUGAGGCUAUUUCUAGGAAAAAGCAACCAGGAAAUUACAAUAUUUUCUGUUUCAGAACUUCAGUUGGGGUUUUUCUUUCUUCUUCUAAUGCGGUCAUCCAGAGACGCCCGGAAUGCACAGGAGCGACGCGGAAGAAUAAAGUUCAAAAAUACUUCUAUCGCCGGCCCCAAAAACGCAAGGGUCAUUUCUCCUAAUUCUUUCUGCCAAGAAAUAGAAACGCUUUCUGGUUCAUCGAGCAAAUUGGUGGGUCUGAAUUCCAGAAACUCAGAUAUCCUCACAAAGGCGGCACUAUGACCCAACAGGUUACGUGUUCUGAAUUCUGGCCGAGGGCCACUUUGUUAAUAAAUACAAGCGUUGAGUUCAGCUGGAUUUAAAGAUCGUGUUCCUCGAGCAGGUCCGGCAGCGCCAGAGCUGUAAAGUCAUGGCGACAGCUCUGCUCUGACACCCGGGCACAGCGCUGCAGGUAGAACGGCCCCGGAUCCGCAGCGCUGGGGGGAGGGCACAGCGCAGCCCCGCUGAGCGCACGGGAACUGCAGGGAUUGCACUGCUGCCAUGAGUUACACCCUCAGAUACAAUAAAUGUGCAGACUCCUACAGCACCUUAAGCCUGCAAAGAGGGGAGCGGUGAGACAGCAGCACACCGUGGGGAGGCACGAGGCCUGAAAGGAAACGAAAUGUAAGAGAAAACUGAGAACUUCAUACAGCAGAGAACCAGAACUACGUCUCUCAUAAAUACCAUUCUAAACAGAGUAGUGGGAAAAGAAGCUGAUACCAAGCAAGUGGACCAAGACAAGAACUUUCACAGAACAUUCAGCAUAGUGCCAGUAAUUACUGUUCAUAAUGAGGGAAAACAAGCUGCAGUUGUAUCAUAGUAGCGCAGCACAUAAUGCUGUUUGAGUUUCCCUUCUGUAUGGUUUUGUAUGCUGGGUGCUGAUAAAGAUCUUUUCCUCUA